CAUAACUGAUUUUAACAAAAAGCUUGAUGGUGCCCAUCUCAUAUCAUCCAGGAACAAAGCAACUCCUUGCUUAUCCCAGCUUGGCUUUCAGUCUAUGCCCACUCCUGAUUUAUGCUUUGGACACAUAG
rnacentral:snoRNA from 1 species